UCAAGGGCUUGUAGAUGGAUGAAUAAUGGUUUCAUGGCUAUAAACACAACAGGAGCUGGAAAAGCCUUCCUAAGAUCAAUUUAUGAGUUAUAUGCUUCUUGGGGAGUUGAUUUUGUGAAACUAGAUUGUGUAUUUGGUGAGGACCUGGAUUUGGGUGAGAUAACAUAUGUAUCAGAGAUUCUGAAUGGCCUUAACAAUUCCAUUGCAUUUUCUUUGUCUCCUGGAGUCAGUGCAACACCAGAAAUGGCUAAGAUGGUUAGUGGUCUAGUUAACAUGUACCGUGUAACAAAAGAUGACUGGGAUAAAUGGCCAG
rnacentral:sRNA from 1 species